ACUUUCGUUUGAAUCAGCAGUACCAUUUGUGCAAUUACAGAGCGCUUGUAAGAGGCCUAAAGUUUAAGAGCAGAAAGAAAUAUUUACCAGGGGAGUUUUACCUAGAUGGACAAAAUUCUCUUGAAAACACUUCUGGGAGGUUUGACUACCUUACUGAUCUUUUUGCUUUCCACACAAAAAUAUUGAUGACGGAGACAAAACUAACUUUCUGAACCAUCAAAUACUAUAUAUUAUUUCCCUCACCAAAUGCCCUGACAGUUGUGUUAUAGAUUUUCCUUCAUUUAAAAAGUAGAUUAUUCAAGAUUCCUGAAAUAAUUAUAAUACAAUGAUAACAUAUUAACUUACAUAGUGCUUCUUCUAUGAUAUCAAUUUUUGUCUCUUAACCAUCAAAUUAGAUAAGGAAGGAGUAGGUGUUAUUAUCUAAUCAGGAAUCCAACUCUAAAGAAAAGGCAAAGAGCAAUCUAAAAUGACAUGUAGAGAUCUGGUUCUGUGUCUUUUCUUUCUUCCCUUCUUUCUUCCUCUCUUUUAUUUUUUGAAAUUACUUUUAUUAAAAUAUGGUUGAAUCCUCCUCUCUUUUAAAUGUUGGGCUUUCAAAGAAAAUCUCAGAAAUACUCAAGAAACAUCAAUGACAAUAACAGUUGUAGUUAAUUGCUGUGUAUUAGGAAUAAACAUUGCAAUUCUAUAACUUCCCAACUUCUCAAAGGUGAAUAUUCUUCUUCUCACUGUACAUACAAAGAAACUAGAGCUCAAAGAGUGUUAGUCACCUUCCCCAAGGCCACAAGGCCAAGCUGCUGAGACAGAAGUCAAAUCAUAGAACCAAAUCUCUAUCACACAGAUGCCUCCCAAACUAAAAUAAUUACUUAAUUAAUUCAACCGGAGGGUGCUGUUUAGCAUUUAGCAGACCUUCCAACCUGCAUCAGUUUAGAAAUUAUACAUACAAAGAAGGCAGUACUGCAUCACGAAAGAGCACAGAGCUAGGGGCUCAGACAUCAAGACUUGAGCUAAACUCAAGAGAAAAUUGUCACAAAAUCCAAGAAAACUUUUUUUUCUUUCCAAGAAAACUCUUUAAACCUGUUUUUUAUGAGUACAUGCAGAUGCCGUUGGACUUAAUGCCUUCUAAAGUCUGUUCCAACUCUUGAUUUUACUCCCCCCCCACCAAAAAGUGAAAGAUUAAAAAAAAUAUCUAAAAAAGGGCAAACAAAAUAAGGAAUCACCCUUUUCACAAAGUCUAGUUUAUCUCAAGUGUUUUUCUGAGUAUAUAACACACACAAGCCUUCCUUGGAAUUGCUUGUAAAAAACGUUCAUGGGGGUUAAAGGAAUUUGGAUAACCAUUUACUUCAUCCCUGAAAACGUCCAUAGGGUUCUCAAUGAAACCUUAAGGUAAAUGAGUUUUUAGUUUCAAUUUGGUUGUCAACCUGUAGAAAAAAGAAAACCUCACAUCAAAGAAGCAAUACAAUUGGAAAAUUAAAUAUUAAAAGAAAUAGCCAUUUCUUAAAGUGGAGCCUUUACUGUCAAUCAGAAUUUUGGUCUAAAAUCUGAGUUCCCACCUAAAAGCAGGAGUUCCCAUCCUGGCUCAGUGGAAAUGAAUCUAAUUAGUAUCCUUGAGGACAUGGGUUCGAUUCCUGGCCUUGCUCAGUGGUGAAGGAUCCCACCUGAGCUGUGGUGUAGGUUGCAGACGUGGCUUGGAGCUGGCUUUGCUGUGGUUGUGGUGUAGGCCAGCGUCUACAGCUCUGAUUUGACCCCUCGCCUGGGAACCUCCAUAUGCCGCAGGUGCAGCCCUAAAAAGAGAAAAUAAAUAAAAUGUAAAAGCAGAGGAAACAAGUCAGCUCUGCUGUGAAUUGCCAAAGCAAUUACCUUCUGCCAAAUGCUCCAGAUGCUUUUCUUACAGAAAUACUUCUGGCUCAUACUCGCCCUUGUUUAUUUCCAUGCGUAUAACUCAGCCAGGCACGGAAACAGGUACUCUGUUAAUCCACUGAAUGUGGUUUUUAAAUUACUUCUCUUACUUCAAAUUUUAAACCAAACACAAAAAGGAAGGACCGUGUCCUUCCUUUUUGUGUGUGUGUAUGUUUGUUUUUUAAUUUUUUUAUUAUAGUUGAUUUACAAUGCUCUGUCAAUUUCUGCUGUAUAGAAAAGUGACCCAGUUAUACAUAUAUACACAUUCUUUUUCUCACAUUAUCCUCCAUCAUGUUCCAUCACAAGUAAUUGGAUACAGUUCCCUGUGCUGUACAGCAGGGCCUCAUUGCUUAUCUGCUCCAAAUGCAAUAGUUUGCAUCUACUAACCCCAAACCCCGAGUCCAUCCCACCCCCUCCCCCUUCCCCCUGGCAAAUGCAAGUAAGUCAGAAAGAUACCAUAUGAUAUCACUUCCCUUUCUUUUUUUAACCUCAUAUUUGAAAGUUCUGUUAAAUCAGUUUAAAACCAAUGAAUGAUACUUGCUACUAAGUGACCCAAGAAAUAAGAAAGAAAUUAUGAUCUAGGUUUGUCUCACACAGCAUUUACAUAUUUAUGAAAUGUUUCAAUAUAAAUCUUUGUAUUGUCAUACAAGUUACUCAAUUUGAAAGCUAUUUGUCUUGUGAAAGACAUUUCAGAAAUGGACCCAGAAAUAGAUGUCCACAUACCUAUGCAUCUUGUUCCAAGAUAUCACUGCUAUACAUUAUACAUCCUUUUUAAUUCAGUGAUGGUUGAUUGAGUGUUUAUUGGGUGCUGGGCCCUAUGUUUACCUGAGAUACAACAUACACUAUGGAAUCUUGUGAAGGCUGCAUUCUCUCUGAGGACAAAGGGAAAAUUAUGAGUCUUUGCACCAGAUAAAGGCCUAUGGAAGAAAUGGGAAUGCAAAUGAAGAGGGGGACUGGAGACAAAUUUAAGAAGUAGAAUCAACUGAAUUUUUGUCAGUCUGGUUUCCAGUUCAAGGGACUAGGUGAUGUCACUUAAUGGGAUUAGAGGGGCGAGGGUGCAAGCAGUCCAGCCAGCCGCACGUUAUCCCAGAGGUGAAAUCUGAGGGAGCGGCUAGUGCAGAAAGGCCAAUGGUCAAUGGGUUCUUACCAGAUGGAAAUGUUGGAAUCAAUUUCAGAACCUGUGAACGUGAACACUGGCCAUGUGGCAAAUUACAGGGAGUGGUAGGAAAGCCUCUUUCAUGGACGGGACUCUAGCCUUGGGGUGAUGCUGUUGCUUGGGUUGGCCCACUGUCCAGGCCAAUGCUUUUGAAUCCAUUCUCAUAUCAAAGGGGUAGGUGUUCCCGUCGUGGCGCAGUGGUUAACGAAUCCGACUAGGAACCAAGAGGUUGUGGGUUCAACCCCUGGCCUUGCUCAGUGGGUUAAGGAUCCGGUGUUGCCCUGAGCUGUGGUGUAGGUCACAGAUGCAGCUCGGAUCCCGAGUUGCUGUGGCUCUGGUGUAGGCCAGUGGCUACAGCUCUGAUUAGACCCCUAGCCUGGGAACCUCCACAUGCUGCCGGAGCGGCCCUAGAAAAGGCAAAAAGACC
rnacentral:lncRNA from 1 species